rnacentral:rRNA from 1 species
GAUGAACGCUGGCGACGUGCCUAAUACAUGCAAGUCGAGCGAACGGACGAGAAGCUUGCUUCUCUGAUGUUAGCGGCGGACGGGUGAGUAACACGUGGAUAACCUACCUAUAAGACUGGGAUAACUUCGGGAAACCGGAGCUAAUACCGGAUGAUAUUUUGAACCGCAUGGUUCAAAAGUGAAAGACGGUCUUGCUGUCACUUAUAGAUGGAUUCGCGCUGCAUUAGCUAGUUGGUAAGGUAACGGCUUACCAAGGCAACGAUGCAUAGCCGACCUGAGAGGGUGAUCGGCCACACUGGAACUGAGACACGGUCCAGACUCCUACGGGAGGCAGCAGUAGGGAAUCUUCCGCAAUGGGCGAAAGCCUGACGGAGCAACGCCGCGUGAGUGAUGAAGGUCUUCGGAUCGUAAAACUCUGUUAUUAGGGAAGAACAUAUGUGUAAGUAACUGUGCACAUCUUGACGGUACCUAAUCAGAAAGCCACGGCUAACUACGUG